UACGAAGGGUGCAAGCGUUAAUCGGAAUUACUGGGCGUAAAGGGUGCGUAGGCGGUUCGUUAAGUCUGUCGUGAAAUCCCCGGGCUCAACCUGGGAAUGGCGAUGGAUACUGGCGAGCUAGAGUGUGUCAGAGGAUGGUGGAAUUCCCGGUGUAGCGGUGAAAUGCAUUGAGAUCGGAAAGAACACCAACGGCGAAAGCACUCUGCUGGGCCGACACUGACACUGAGAGACGAAAGCUAGGGGAGCAAAUGGG
rnacentral:rRNA from 1 species